UGUGAACUAUAAACCUAGUGAUCUAACUUACCUAACGGAAACAAUAAAAGUCCGAACCAUGGCAUCUUGAAAUAUUCUUGGUUAAUUCGUAGUUAGCGGUUAAAGGUCAAUCAAACAGGUAAUA
rnacentral:rRNA from 15 species